CAAUGAGCGCAUGGACGAGCCUCUGACCAUGGCAGUUUUGUCCCAGGAGGGGUCRGCGCCCGCAGCAAGCUCUCUUGUGAAAGCGUUGGAGGAGCUGUGGAUCCGAAGGUCAACGCAUGGAUUUGAUGUUAUUGCAUAGAUGAGAUUUUCAAGUACUGAACAAUAAAAGCACAGAGAUUUAUGCAACGAGGAGAGAGCUAAUAGGAGAAGUAGCGGCGCGUUCCAUGCGUUUAACUCCUCGGCUGCCAUGUGGUACGGAUGACGUUUCUGGCUGGGGGUUACUAACGUGUAGGGAAGAGCUGUUCCCAACCUGUCCGCAAGCGCUGGCGCCGAGCGCAGGCUGCAGCCGCGCUCCGGAGCUCCGCGCAUUCCUCCCCAGGCAGAAAAGCAAGUGCCCGAGAGAAGACAGAUGUAGAGCAUUGGGUCCUGAGAUACUUUGCUGCCCGAAGGAGGAAGCGUAUCCGUAUGGAGCUAGCGCCGCUCAGGACGGGGAGACGGGGGAAGCGCCCGAGC